CAGUAGCCGCGGUAAUACGAGGGGUGCAAGCGUUAUUCGGAUUGAUUGGGUGUAAAGGGUGUGCAGACGGCUUAUUAAGUCACUUGUUAAAUUCUUCGGCCUAACUGAAGGUCUGCAAGUGAUACUGAUGAGCUAGAGGGUGGAAGAGAGAAGUGGAAUUCUCGGAGUAGCGGUAAAAUGCGUAGAUCUCGAGAGGAACACCAAUGGCGAAGGCAGCUUCUUGGUCCAUUCCUGACGUUCAUACACGAAAGCGUGGGGAGCAAACAGGAUUAGAUACCCCGGUAGUCCCUGUCUCUUAUAA
rnacentral:rRNA from 1 species